AUGGUACCGACUUCGCAACCUCAGCCUCCAAUGGGUGAUGUCACUCCUGCCGGUUCACAGCCAACACAAGAAUUCCCUGGCAAUCCAGCUCAGCUCAGUGCUCAGGAGCAGCUUAUGUACGAGCAGUCGCAGGAGUAUCAGCUGCAGCUCCAGCAGCAGCUCCAGAGGCAGCUCCAGCAGCUCUGGGCCGAGCAGCGGUCAGAGAUCGAGCAGGUGACUGACAUGAAGAACCACCCCCUGCCACCCACCAGGAUAAGGAAGAUCAUGAGGGCCGAUGAGGACGUCCGCAUGAUCUCGGCAGAAGCUCCGGCGCUCUUCGCGAAAGCAUGCGAGAUGUUCACGCUGGAGAUGACGACGAGGUCAUGGAUGGUCACCGAGGAGGACAAACGCCGGGUCCUGCAGAGGAGUGACAUCGCCGCGGCUGUGGCUAGGACUGACGAUUACGACUUCCUGCUGGAUUUGUUUACCAGAGAAGAGACGAAGCAUGGGGUCCUGCUUCGUAGGACCGGGCAGCAGCCCAUGGGGACUCAAGCUGGUGCAUACCCGUACUACUAUGCGCCGCAGCAGCAGGUGGCAGGUGCGUCGAUGGCAUACGGUGGCCCGUCUACCUAUGUGUGGCAAGAGCCUCAGGUACAAGAGCAGGGCCAUGCCCAUGCGUCCACCUACGUGUGGCAAGAGCCUCAGCAACAACAGGAGGAGCCCUGA
rnacentral:rRNA from 1 species